rnacentral:rRNA from 1 species
CCUACGGGGGGCAGCAGUGAGGAAUAUUGGUCAAUGGGCGAGAGUCUGAACCAGCCAAGUAGCGUGAAGGAUGACUGCCCUAUGGGUUGUAAACUUCUUUUAUAUGGGAAUAAAACAGGGUAUGCAUACCCUCUUGUAUGUACCAUAUGAAUAAGGAUCGGCUAACUCCGUGCCAGCAGCCGCGGUAAUACGGAGGAUCCGAGCGUUUUCCGGAUUUAUUGGGGUUAAAGGGAGCGUAGGUGGAUUGUUAAGUCAGUUGUGAAAGUUUGCGGCUCAACCGUUAAAGUGCAGUUGAAACUGGCAGUCUGGAGUACAGGAGAGGUGGGCGGAAUUCGUGGUGUAGCGGUGAAAUGCGUAGAUAUCACGAAGAACGCCGAUGGCGAAGGCAGCUUACUGGACUGCAACUGACACUGAGGCUCGAAAGUGUGGGUAUCAAACAGGAUUAGAUACCCUGGUAGUC